AAAAUGGUCCAAAGGUUGUGGGAUUUUGUUAGGUUUGAGGUGGGUGACCUCCAAUAUACUUCUUUCUCUCUCUUGUGAACAUUCAUCGUAACAUAUUUUUGGUUGAAGGUUUAUUUGGUAUUUUUCGGUUUUCAUUGCAUGGUGUUUUGAAUAUUCGAGAUAAAGUUGAUUAAAUUCAUACGUGGGGUUAUUUGAGAUUGUUAU
rnacentral:lncRNA from 1 species